rnacentral:rRNA from 1 species
GAGACUCUGUGCGCGUGCAUAUCAAUAAGCGGAGGAAAAGAAACUAACAAGGAUUCCCCUAGUAACGGCGAGUGAAGCGGGAAGAGCUCAAAUUUGAAAUCUUCAAGGGUUUCCCUUGACGAAUUGUAGUUUAAAGAAGUGUUUUCUGUUAGAGAGGUGGUAAAAGUUCUUUGGAAUAGGACAUCAUAGAGGGUGAGAAUCCCGUAUUUGGUCAUUCCUCCUAGCGUUGUGAUACACUUUCAAAGAGUCGGAUUGUUUGGGAAUGCAGUCCAAAAUGGGUGGUAAAUUUCAUCUAAAGCUAAAUAUUGGCGAGAGACCGAUAGCGAACAAGUACCGUGAGGGAAAGAUGAAAAGAACUUUGAAAAGAGAGUUAAACAGUACGUGAAAUUGUCAAAAGGGAAGCGUUUGACACCAGUGUUGUUUUCUGGAAAAUCAAUUAAAAAUGGAUGGGAUUUUGUGUUGUAUUGACUUUAUCAGCUUUCUGCACUUUUUUCUUAGUCUUUUUUAAUGCACUUUUCGUUUAACAAGUCAACAUCAAUUUCUUUUGUUGUAAAAGAGUCAUUGGAAGGUGGCUUUUCAUUUCGGUGAAAAGUGUUUAUAGCCUUUGACUUCUGCAAUCGGAGAGAUUGAGGUCUGCAGCGUAGAUCCUUCGGGGUUAGAUACAUUUGUGCUAAGCUAUAGCUCUUUAUAGACAACUUGUUGACUAUAAUCAAUCCUGUAACUUACUCGCUUAUGCUAUUUUACCUACGCUUAGGAUGUUGAACUCUAUCACACACAG